rnacentral:rRNA from 1 species
AGGAUAAACGCUGGCGGCGUGCAUGAGACAUGCAAGUCGAACGGACGAUCAGGGCUUGGCUCUGAUCGUUAGUGGCGGACGGCUGAGUAACGCGUAGGUGACCUGCCCCGAAGUGGGGGAUAACUGCCCGAAAGGGUGGCUAAUACCGCAUGCGGUGGUCCGUUCGAUCGGACCAUCAAAGCAGCAAUGCGCUUCGGGAGGGCCUGCGUCCGAUUAGCUCGUUGGUGGGGUAACGGCUCACCAAGGCGACGAGUCGGUAGGUGGUCUGGAGAGGACGAUCACCCAGACUGGGACUGAGACCACGGCCCAGACCUCCGUAACGGGAGCAGCAGGUGGGAAUUAGUUGGAACAAGUGGGACGAAAGCCUGACUCCGAGCAAUCGCCG